rnacentral:rRNA from 1 species
UACGAAGGUCCCAAGCGUUGUUCGGAAUCACUGGGCGUAAAGGGCGCGUAGGCGGCCUUCUAAGUCGGACGUGAAAUCCCUCGGCUUAACCGAGGAACUGCGUCCGAUACUGAAAGGCUUGAAUCCGGGAGAGGGAUGUGGAAUUCCAGGUGUAGCGGUGAAAUGCGUAGAUAUCUGGAGGAACACCGGUGGCGAAGGCGGCAUCCUGGACCGGUAUUGACGCUGAGGCGCGAAAGCCAGGGGAGCAAACGGG